rnacentral:rRNA from 1 species
AGCAGCCGCGGUAAUUCCAGCCCCAAUAGCGUAUAUUAAAGUUGUUGCAGUUAAAAAGCUCGUAGUUGAAUUUCGGGAUCGGCGCGUCGGUCGUGCCUCCGGUAUGCACUGGCGCCGCUGGUUUCUCCCUUCUGAGGAACCGUGAUGUCAUUAAUUUGGUGUUGCGGGAAAUCAGGACUGUUACUUUGAAAAAAUUAGAGUGUUUAAAGCGGGCACGCGCUUGAAUACAUUAGCAUGGAAUAACGAAAUAGGACGUUCGAUCUUAUUUUGUUGGUUUCUAGGAUUGACGUAAUGAUUAAUAGGGAUAGUUGGGGGCAUUAGUAUUCAAUUGUCAGAGGUGAAAUUCUUGGAUUUAU